UUAAGCGACUAAGCGUACACGGUGGAUGCCCUGGCAGUCAGAGGCGAUGAAGGACGUGCUAAUCUGCGAAAAGCGUCGGUAAGGUGAUAUGAACCGUUAUAACCGGCGAUGUCCGAAUGGGGAAACCCAGUGCAAUUCGUUGCACUAUCGUUAACUGAAUACAUAGGUUAACGAGGCGAACCGGGGGAACUGAAACAUCUAAGUACCCCGAGGAAAAGAAAUCAACCGAGAUUCCCCCAGUAGCGGCGAGCGAACGGGGAGCAGCCCAGAGUCUGAAUCAGCUUGUGUGUUAGUGGAACGGUCUGGAAAGUCCGACGGUACAGGGUGAUAGUCCCGUACACCAAAAUGCACAGGUUGUGAACUCGAAGAGUAGGGCGGGACACGUGGUAUCCUGUCUGAAUAUGGGGGGACCAUCCUCCAAGGCUAAAUACUCCUGACUGACCGAUAGUGAACCAGUACCGUGAGGGAAAGGCGAAAAGAACCCCGGCGAGGGGAGUGAAAAAGAACCUGAAACCGUGUACGUACAAGCAGUGGGAGCACCUUCGGGUGUGACUGCGUACCUUUUGUAUAAUGGGUCAGCGACUUAUAUUCUGUAGCAAGGUUAACCGUAUAGGGGAGCCGCAGGGAAACCGAGUCUUAACUGGGCGUUAAGUUGCAGGGUAUAGACCCGAAACCCGGUGAUCUAGCCAUGGGCAGGUUGAAGGUUGGGUAACACUAACUGGAGGACCGAACCGACUAAUGUUGAAAAAUUAGCGGAUGACUUGUGGCUGGGGGUGAAAGGCCAAUCAAACCGGGAGAUAGCUGGUUCUCCCCGAAAGCUAUUUAGGUAGCGCCUCGUGAACUCAUCUUCGGGGGUAGAGCACUGUUUCGGCUAGGGGGUCAUCCCGACUUACCAACCCGAUGCAAACUACGAAUACCGAAGAAUGUUAUCACGGGAGACACACGGCGGGUGCUAACGUCCGUCGUGAAGAGGGAAACAACCCAGACCGCCAGCUAAGGUCCCAAAGUCAUGGUUAAGUGGGAAACGAUGUGGGAAGGCACAGACAGCCAGGAUGUUGGCUUAGAAGCAGCCAUCAUUUAAAGAAAGCGUAAUAGCUCACUGGUCGAGUCGGCCUGCGCGGAAGAUGUAACGGGGCUAAACCAUGCACCGAAGCUGCGGCAGCGACACUAUGUGUUGUUGGGUAGGGGAGCGUUCUGUAAGCCUGCGAAGGUGACCUGUGAGGGUUGCUGGAGGUAUCAGAAGUGCGAAUGCUGACAUAAGUAACGAUAAAGCGGGUGAAAAGCCCGCUCGCCGGAAGACCAAGGGUUCCUGUCCAACGUUAAUCGGGGCAGGGUGAGUCGACCCCUAAGGCGAGGCCGAAAGGCGUAGUCGAUGGGAAACAGGUUAAUAUUCCUGUACUUGGUGUUACUGCGAAGGGGGGACGGAGAAGGCUAUGUUAGCCGGGCGACGGUUGUCCCGGUUUAAGCAUGUAGGCUGAUUGUCCAGGCAAAUCCGGAUAAUCAAGGCUGAGGUGUGAUGACGAGGCACUACGGUGCUGAAGUAACAAAUGCCCUGCUUCCAGGAAAAGCCUCUAAGCAUCAGGUAACAUUAAAUCGUACCCCAAACCGACACAGGUGGUCAGGUAGAGAAUACCAAGGCGCUUGAGAGAACUCGGGUGAAGGAACUAGGCAAAAUGGUGCCGUAACUUCGGGAGAAGGCACGCUGGUGUGUAGGUGAAGUCCCUGCGGAUGGAGCUGAGACCAGUCGAAGAUACCAGCUGGCUGCAACUGUUUAUUAAAAACACAGCACUGUGCAAACACGAAAGUGGACGUAUACGGUGUGACGCCUGCCCGGUGCCGGAAGGUUAAUUGAUGGGGUUAUCCGUAAGGAGAAGCUCUUGAUCGAAGCCCCGGUAAACGGCGGCCGUAACUAUAACGGUCCUAAGGUAGCGAAAUUCCUUGUCGGGUAAGUUCCGACCUGCACGAAUGGCGUAAUGAUGGCCAGGCUGUCUCCACCCGAGACUCAGUGAAAUUGAACUCGCUGUGAAGAUGCAGUGUACCCGCGGCAAGACGGAAAGACCCCGUGAACCUUUACUAUAGCUUGACACUGAACAUUGAGCCUUGAUGUGUAGGAUAGGUGGGAGGCUUUGAAGCGUGGACGCCAGUCUGCGUGGAGCCAACCUUGAAAUACCACCCUUUAAUGUUUGAUGUUCUAACGUUGGCCCCUGACCGGGGUUGCGGACAGUGUCUGGUGGGUAGUUUGACUGGGGCGGUCUCCUCCCAAAGCGUAACGGAGGAGCACGAAGGUUAGCUAAUCCUGGUCGGACAUCAGGAGGUUAGUGCAAUGGCAUAAGCUAGCUUGACUGCGAGCGUGACGGCGCGAGCAGGUGCGAAAGCAGGUCAUAGUGAUCCGGUGGUUCUGAAUGGAAGGGCCAUCGCUCAACGGAUAAAAGGUACUCCGGGGAUAACAGGCUGAUACCGCCCAAGAGUUCAUAUCGACGGCGGUGUUUGGCACCUCGAUGUCGGCUCAUCACAUCCUGGGGCUGAAGUAGGUCCCAAGGGUAUGGCUGUUCGCCAUUUAAAGUGGUACGCGAGCUGGGUUUAGAACGUCGUGAGACAGUUCGGUCCCUAUCUGCCGUGGGCGCUGGAGAAUUGAGGGGGGCUGCUCCUAGUACGAGAGGACCGGAGUGGACGCAUCACUGGUGUUCGGGUUGUCAUGCCAAUGGCACUGCCCGGUAGCUAAAUGCGGAAGAGAUAAGUGCUGAAAGCAUCUAAGCACGAAACUUGCCCCGAGAUGAGUUCUCCCUGAGACUUUAAGUCUCCUGAAGGAACGUUAAAGACGAUGACGUUGAUAGGCCGGGUGUGUAAGCGCAGCGAUGCGUUGAGCUAACCGGUACUAAUGAACCGUGAGGCUUAACCUU
rnacentral:rRNA from 1 species